rnacentral:rRNA from 1 species
AUUGAACGCUGGCGGCAGGCUUAACACAUGCAAGUCGAGCGGAGCGGCGGACGGGUGAGUAAUGCCUAUGAAUCUGCCUGGUAGUGGGGGAUAACGUCCGGAAACGGGCGCUAAUACCGCAUACUAUCAGAUGAGCCUAGGUCGGUUUAGCUAGUUGGUGGGGUAAAGGCCUACCAAGGCCACGAUCCGUAACUGGUCUGAGAGGAUGAUUAGUCACACUGGAACUGAGACACGGGCCAGACUCCUACGGGAGGCAGCAGUGGGGAAUAUUGGACAAUGGGCGAAAGCCUGAUCCAGCCAUGCCGCGUGUGUGAAGAAGGUCUUCGGAUUGUAAAGCACUUUAAGUUGGGAGGCGUUACCCGCAGAAGAAGCACCGGCUAACUCCGUGCCAGCAGCCGCGGUAAUUC